AAUGAACGCUGGCGGCAGGCCUAACACAUGCAAGUCGAGCGGAGCGAGCGGCGGGCGGGUAAUGCAUAGGUAUCUGACUGGCCGAUGGGGAUAACGUCCGGUAAGGGGCGCUAAUACCGCACACUUUCAGAUGACCCUAGGUUGUAUUAGCUAGCUGGGAGGGUAAGGGCAUACCAAGGCGACGAUCCGUAACUGGUCUGAGAGGAUGAUCAGUCACACUGGAACUGAGACACGGUCCAGACUCCUACGGGAGGCAGCAGUGGGGAAUCUUGCACAAUGGGCGAAAGCCUGAUCCAGCCAUGCCGCGUGUGUGAUGAAGGUCUUCGGAUUGUAAAGCACUUUUAGUAGGGAGGCGGUACCAACAGAGUAAGCACCGGCUAACUUCGUGCCAGCAGCCGCGGUAAUAC
rnacentral:rRNA from 1 species